rnacentral:rRNA from 1 species
GAUGAACGCUGGCGGCGUGCCUAAUACAUGCAAGUAGAACGCUGAAGGAAGGAGCUUGCUCUUUCCGGAUGAGUUGCGAACGGGUGAGUAACGCGUAGGUAACCUGCCUGGUAGCGGGGGAUAACUAUUGGAAACGAUAGCUAAUACCGCAUAACAGUAGAUGUUGCAUGACAACUAUUUGAAAGGGGCAAUUGCUCCACUACCAGAUGGACCUGCGUUGUAUUAGCUAGUUGGUGAGGUAACGGCUCACCAAGGCGACGAUACAUAGCCGACCUGAGAGGGUGAUCGGCCACACUGGGACUGAGACACGGCCCAGACUCCUACGGGAGGCAGCAGUAGGGAAUCUUCGGCAAUGGACGGAAGUCUGACCGAGCAACGCCGCGUGAGUGAAGAAGGUUGUCGGAUCGUAAAGAUCUGUUGUAAGAGAAGAACGAGUGUGAGAGUGGAAAGUUCACACUGUGACGGUAUCUUACCAGAAAGGGACGGCUAACUACGUG